CCAUAGGAGAGAUGGAGCUGCAAGAUUGACGGGGCAUUUGUGAGAUCUGCCUUUUCCCACUCAGCGCUGACAAUAGCAAGUCACUGGAGAGUUUUGAGCAAGUGAAAAACAGUCCAAUCUAUCAUGCUGGCUGCUGUAUAAAGAGUAGACUAUAGGAGGGCCACUGUGGAAGAGGGGAACUGUCAGGAGGCCACUACAAUCAUCAAGGGAACAGAAAUGAACUGAAAUCAAGAAACAGAAGGGCCAAGGAAAGAAGUCCAUUUGAAUGUAUCAACAUGCAGGUUUAUUAAUUAUUCCCUGAAUAAUCAACAACUAAACCAUUCUGCAUUGCUUGGCUAUUGAAUAUGAUCAAACCUAUAUUUAUCAUUUGGAACUGAAGUUCAAUGUCUUAUACAAGCUUUGUUUGCUCAUGACUAUUCCGUCACCAUUUAUAGAAAGUAUAGUUUUUCAAAAGUGUGAAGAAUCCACCAGCUUUCUGAUCUUUGUGACUCCUCUUAAAGAAAUAAAUAACAACCAGACACAGGACCCCUCCUAUCUGGAUGGGAUCAAGUUAAAUGUCAUCCGUGGGUCAGAGGAGACAACCUAGGAAACCACCACCCAACAGUUUCCUUUAUUUUCCAUGACUGAACACUAGAAAAUUCCCAAAUCCUUCCACUACAAAGAGAAAAGAGUUGUAAAUCAACAGAACGGAAGAGAAACAAAAAGGCAUUUCCUCUAUCUUUAACAAAGGGAACUUAGAGUUAUCAAGAGAAGGAACACGACUUUCUACUUAGCUCCAUAAUUUUCAUUCUAAUGUUAUUAAAAAGAAGUCAUCAUUGGUACAUGGAAGGAUAAAUCUAUAUUUUAAAGUCCCUCUUUUCUGUUGUUGGUCACAAAAGGCAACAAAGAAGCAUCUAAUAAAUAGAAUCUCUUAUUUGAAACAUUGGAAAAAGGAUGCCAGCUCCUGGAAAAUACCUUGCCCAUCAGUAAAGAAAUCGGUCCACAGGGAAUAAAAAUGGAAUGGAGAGCUCUCCAAUGCUGCCCUAUGGGGAGAAAUAAAAGGGGUCUCCACAUGUGGACUUCAUAAAAACUUUGAUAUAAAAGAAAUCUAUUAUCAAAAGUACACGGUAACCCCAGCAAGUGUUCUGUUUAAUCUUUGCACAGAGGAUUUAGGGCCUGCAAAGUGCAAGAGGCAUGAUGCAUUGGCCAUUUUAGUAUUCAUGUCUCCUGUACUGCUUUCUAAUAAGUUAAGAUGAAACGGGAGACUGCGUGCAGGAGUGAGAGAUGCAAGAAAAGCAGUACUGAGAAAUAAAGAUGAACAAAAGUGCA